rnacentral:rRNA from 1 species
AGUGAACGCUGGCGGUAGGCCUAACACAUGCAAGUCGAACGGCAGCACAGGAGAGCUUGCUCUCUAGGUGGCGAGUGGCGGACGGGUGAGGAAUACAUCGGAAUCUGCCCAGUCGUGGGGGAUAACGUAGGGAAACUUACGCUAAUACCGCAUACGACCUUCGGGGGAAAGAGGGGGAUCGCAAGACCUAUCGCGAUUGGAUGAGCCGAUGUCGGAUUAGCUAGUUAGCGGGGUAAUGGCCCACCAAGGCGACGAUCCGUAGCUGGUCUGAGAGGAUGAUCAGCCACACUGGAACUGAGACACGGUCCAGACUCCUACGGGAGGCAGCAGUGGGGAAUAUUGGACAAUGGGCGCAAGCCUGAUCCAGCCAUACCGCGUGGGUGAAGAAGGCCUUCGGGUUGUAAAGCCCUUUUGUUGGGAAAGAAAUCUUUCAGGCUAAUACCCUGGGAGGAUGACGGUACCCAAAGAAUAAGCACCGGCUAACUUCGUG